AGUGAACGCUGGCGGUAGGCCUAACACAUGCAAGUCGAACGGCAGCACAGUAAGAGCUUGCUCUUACGGGUGGCGAGUGGCGGACGGGUGCGGAAUACAUCGGAAUCUACUUUUUCGUGGGGGCUAACGUAGGGAAACUUACGCUAAUACCGCAUACGACCUACGGGUGAAAGCAGGGGAUCUUAGGACCUUGCGCGAUUGAAUGAGCCGAUGUCGGAUUAGCUAGUUGGCGGGGUAAAGGCCCACCAAGGCGACGAUCCGUAGCUGGUCUGAGAGGAUGAUCAGCCACACUGGAACUGAGACACGGUCCAGACUCCUACGGGAGGCAGCAGUGGGGAAUAUUGGACAAUGGGCGCAAGCCUGAUCCGGCCAUACCGCGUGGGUGAAGAAGGCCUUCGGGUUGUAAAGCCCUUUUGGUGGGAAAGAAAAGCAGCAAGUUAAUACCCCGCUGUUCUGACGGUACCCAAAGAAUAAGCACCGGCUAACUUCGUG
rnacentral:rRNA from 1 species